AUCUUGUGCUUGCCAGGCAGAUGUGUUGCCAUUGAGCUACAUCCCUGGCCCUGACAAGGACCUUUCUAUUUGGAGUGGUGACAUCAUCUGUAUUGCUAUUGAAGUUGAGCAUUAAGUCCAGCAUUAAGAUUAAUACAAAAACCUCCUUUCUUGCACAUACGCAAAUGCAUCUCUGUACUUCAUCCCACAGGUUUCCAUAAUGUAUGCAGUAACAAAGGCAGCACUUUUGGCGAUCACUGCGUUUCCCUGAUAAGAACUUUUCCUACAGAGCUAUUGACCCCAGGAAAAGGAAGCUCAGCUCAGAGGCAAGGACACACACUCCAUUGGAGGAAAGGAUGCCUUUUCCAUACACAGCCCAGUUCCUACCUCAAGCCUGGACAGACCCAGCUUGACGAAGUGCUGUGGCCUCUCCGUGAGCAC
rnacentral:lncRNA from 1 species